UAUUACGCACAUAAAUAUCAAUUCGAGGCCCAGGCUGGCACAUGCUCGGAAAUGAAACAUAAUUUAUUAUUGCUCUCCUGAUGAAAGAUUGAAAAUUGUCAAAAGUCAAACACACACCUGGUGAACUCAUGUUUCCAUUUGCAGGCAAUUAAACGGAAAAAUAAAUUUCGAAAGUUAAAUAAAGGAAGCUACACCCGCCCGUCGCCAUGGAUGCCGCAAAAGCCAAUGGAAUUCAGUUGAACUAGUCUCGGAAAUGAAUGAAACCUCAACCGAAGAGUUGUCGGAUUAUGGCGUGACAUGAAUCUGUUUACAGCUUCUGACAUGACACAACAAACACCUACGUUAAGCUGCCUGUACAUUUUUUCGAUUGAGUUUUCACUGCAGCUCAAAACCCAUCACAGCCAACAGGGUCCUGAUCGUUUUAUAGUUAACCACUCCAUCGUCAAAGGACGUGCGUUAUGCUGCUGUCUGUCAUCACAGCGAAUGCAAAUAAUCCGCCGCCACUGCGGCCGAUGGCCUGCAACUGACAGUUGCCAGUCGCAGCUUUAAAAGUUUUCCACCUACCACAGUGUUUUGUCAAACAUGAGAGAGUUUACCGAGCUCCUCUGCCCGCCAGAGUCCGAUGGAAUCCUAUGAAAGUCAAGCGCAGGAGGCAAGCAAAUAGUGCCCUGCGGACACAUUGCGUAUACGCAAUGUGUGCGUCUGGCGCGCGUUUCAAUUUUAUUAACCGCAAAACUUUUCUGGCUCCCAAAAGUGAAGGGGUGGGGCCUCGCAAAGGGGUUGUAAUAACCGUUUUUAGCGCUGUUACCUUUUGACUUCGCUCGUAUUAUGAAGUUUUGGAGGAGUCUGCUCAUGCUUCCUGCUGAAGGGUACCAGCCAGUCGAUUCCCUCUGAUUUUCUCGCUGGCGGACGCCGCAUGUGCGCCCACGCGUGGAUUUCAACAUUUUUGCGUUAAAUAAAACCGACUCUGUGACUCUAAAAAAACAAUUGAAGACCAGGACCAAAAGGAAAUAUCGCAGGAACGCAGGCGAGUACAGGCACUAAUGAGUCAUGCGAUAACCCAGCCGCACCUUAUGGGCCAUCUCGAGAGUGACAAAUUUGAUCUGAUCUGCGAUGAUGGGGUCGCUACGUGCUGGGUGCCGGAUGGGACUGAUUUGAUUGACUUAUGCUAAUUUUUGGGGCACCAUCACCAUGCGAUCAUUUGGAAAAUCACCGUGCUGAUGUGACACUGGCAGGAAUCGAAUAGAGCCGAGGUGGUAGGGCGGGUCUGAGCCAGGGAGAGGGCGACUCCGUGUGUUUUUCUCGCUUUUGAAGCGGGGGCGAGCGACAAAGUUAUGGAAACUUUCCGAGGAUUGGCUUUAAUGUUUCUCUGUCUCCAUGACAGAGCCCAGGACCAUACGACGUUAAUUAGAUUCGAAACCCCGCUGGCCCAAUAACGGAAAUUCUAGCGCACGGACGAACGCCUGAAGAGAGAAGAAUCUAGACGCGGUCCAUGCCCCAAGAACCUCCUAAAGUAAAUUAUGGAAUUAUUGUGGCCAGAACUGCGCUUGAAACAAG
rnacentral:sRNA from 1 species